CUGCAUGGUGGUGCAGUUGGUAGCACUGCCUUGCAGCAAGAAGGCCCUGGGUUCAACUCCCACCAUGGAGA